rnacentral:rRNA from 1 species
CCUACGGGGGGCUGCAGUGAGGAAUAUUGGUCAAUGGACGCAAGUCUGAACCAGCCAUGCCGCGUGCAGGAAGACGGCCCUAUGAGUUGUAAACUGCUUUUGUACGAGGGUAAACGCAGAUACGCGUAUCUGUCUGAAAGUACCGUACGAAUAAGGAUCGGCUAACUCCGUGCCAGCAGCCGCGGUAAUACGGAGGAUUCAAGCGUUAUCCGGAUUUAUUGGGUUUAAAGGGUGCGUAGGCGGUCGGAUAAGUUAGGGGUGAAAGCCUGAGGCACAACUGCGGAAUUGCCUCUGAUACUGUUCGGCUAGAGAGAAGUUGCGGUAGGCGGAAUGUGUGGUGUAGCGGUGAAAUGCUUAGAGAUCAUACAGAACACCGAUUGCGAAGGCAGCUUACCAAGCUACUUCUGACGUUGAGGCACGAAAGCGUGGGGAGCAAACAGGAUUAGAUACCCCUGUAGUC